GACGAACGCUGGCGGCGUGCUUAACACAUGCAAGUCGAACGGAAAGGCCCUCUUGUGUGGUACUCACGUGUCGAACGGGGGAGUAACACGUGGAUAACCUACCCUUCACUUUGGUCUAACUUCAUAAAACUGGGGCUAAUACGCGAUUAGAGCUCCUGCUCCAUGGUGGGGGUUGGAAAGUCUAGGCGGUUUGGGAUGGAGUCGCGGCUUAUCAGCUAGUUGGUGGGGUACUGGCUCACGAAGGACCUGGCGGGUAGCCGGCCUGAGAGGGGGACCGGCCACAUUGGGACUGAGAGACGGCGCAGACUGGUACGGGAGGCAGCAGUGGGGAAUAUUGCACAAUGGGCGGAAGCCUGAUGAGGCAACGCCGCGGUCGGGAUGACGGCUUUCGGGGUGUAAACCGCUUUAGCCUGUGACGAAGCGUGAGUGACGGUAAUGGGUAAAGAAGCACCGGCUAACUACGUG
rnacentral:rRNA from 1 species